rnacentral:rRNA from 1 species
GGAAAGAUUUAUCGCCGAAAGAUCGGCCCGCGUCUGAUUAGCUAGUUGGUGAGGUAAUGGCUCACCAAGGCGACGAUCAGUAGCUGGUCUGAGAGGAUGAUCAGCCACAUUGGGACUGAGACACGGCCCAAACUCCUACGGGAGGCAGCAGUGGGGAAUAUUGGACAAUGGGCGCAAGCCUGAUCCAGCCAUGCCGCGUGAGUGAUGAAGGCCCUAGGGUUGUAAAGCUCUUUUGUGCGGGAAGAUAAUGACGGUACCGCAAGAAUAAGCCCCGGCUAACUUCGUGCCAGCAGCCUCGGUAAUACGAAGGGGGCUAGCGUUGCUCGGAAUCACUGGGCGUAAAGGGUGCGUAGGCGGGUCUUUAAGUCAGGGGUGAAAUCCUGGAGCUCAACUCCAGAACUGCCUUUGAUACUGAAGAUCUUGAGUUCGGGAGAGGUGAGUGGAACUGCGAGUG